rnacentral:rRNA from 1 species
UACGUAGGGCGCAAGCGUUGUCCGGAAUUAUUGGGCGUAAAGAGCUCGUAGGCGGUCUGUCGCGUCGGCUGUGGAAACUCGGGGCUCAACCCCGAGCCUGCAGUCGAUACGGGCAGACUAGAGUGCUGUAGGGGAGACUGGAAUUCCUGGUGUAGCGGUGAAAUGCGCAGAUAUCAGGAGGAACACCGGUGGCGAAGGCGGGUCUCUGGGCAGUAACUGACGCUGAGGAGCGAAAGCGUGGGGAGCGAACAGG